UACGAAGGGGGGCUAGCGUUGUUCGGAAUUACUGGGCGUAAAGCGUGCGCAGGCGGCUUCUCAAGUCAGGGGUGAAAGCCCAGAGCUCAACUCUGGAAUUGCCUUUGAGACUGAGUGGCUUGAGUACGAGAGAGGUGAGUGGAAUUCCCAGUGUAGAGGUGAAAUUCGUAGAUAUUGGGAAGAACACCAGUGGCGAAGGCGGCUCACUGGACCGGCAUUGACGCUGAGGUGCGAAAGCGUGGGGAGCAAACAGG
rnacentral:rRNA from 1 species